rnacentral:rRNA from 1 species
UACGAAGGGGGCUAGCGUUGCUCGGAAUGACUGGGCGUAAAGCGCACGUAGGUGGCCUGUUAAGUCGGGUGUGAAAUCCCUGGGCUCAACCCAGGAAGUGCACUCGAAACUGGCAGGCUUGAGUACUGAAGAGGGUCGCGGAAUUCCCGGUGUAGAGGUGAAAUUCGUAGAUAUCGGGAGGAACACCAGUGGCGAAGGCGGCGACCUGGGCAGAUACUGACACUGAGGUGCGAAAGCGUGGGGAGCAAACAGG